UACGAGAGGCCCAAACGUUAUUCGGAUUUACUGGGCUUAAAGAGUUCGUAGGCGGCGCAGAAAGUAGGGUGUGAAAGCCCCCGGCUCAACCGGGGAGAGUGGUGCCGAACUGGACUUCUUGAGGGCGAUAGAGGAGAGUGGAAUUCCGGGUGUAGCGGUGAAAUGCGUAGAGAUCCGGAGGAACACCAGUGGCGCAGGCGGCUCUCUGGGUCGGCCCUGACGCUGAGGCGCGAAAGCGUGGGGAGCGAACGGG
rnacentral:rRNA from 1 species